rnacentral:rRNA from 1 species
UACGUAGGGCGCAAGCGUUAUCCGGAAUUAUUGGGCGUAAAGGAGCUCGUGAGCGGUUUGUCGCGUCUGCCGUGAAAGUCCGGGGCUCAACUCCGGAUCUGCGGUGGGUACGGGCAGACUAGAGUGAUGUAGGGGAGACUGGAAUUCCUGGUGUAGCGGUGAAAUGCGCAGAUAUCAGGAGGAACACCGAUGGCGAAGGCAGGUCUCUGGGCAUUAACUGACGCUGAGGAGCGAAAGCAUGGGGAGCGAACAGG